AGGCCAUCCUCGAGGCGGAGCUCGUUCGGCUCGACGCCGAGCACCAGGCUGGGCACGGCGGUCUGGCUGCCGAUCGCGUUGGCGAUGACCUG
rnacentral:tRNA from 1 species